CCUACGGGGGGCUGCAGUGGGGAAUAUUGGACAAUGGGGGGAACCCUGAUCCAGCGACGCCGCGUGAGUGAAGAAGUAUUUCGGUAUGUAAAGCUCUAUCAGCAGGGAAGAAAGAAAUGACGGUACCUGACUAAGAAGCCCCGGCUAACUACGUGCCAGCAGCCGCGGUAAUACGUAGGGGGCAAGCGUUAUCCGGAUUUACUGGGUGUAAAGGGAGCGUAGACGGCGAUGCAAGUCUGAAGUGAAAGGCGGGGGCCCAACCCCCGGACUGCUUUGGAAACUGUAUGGCUGGAUUGCAGGGGAGGUAAGUGGAAUUCCUAGUGUAGCGGUGAAAUGCGUAGAUAUUAGGAGGAACACCAGUGGCGAAGGCGGCUUACUGGACUGUAACUGACGUUGAGGCUCGAAAGCGUGGGGAGCAAACAGGAUUAGAUACCCCUGUAGUC
rnacentral:rRNA from 1 species